CGCAUCUGUGCAUGCAGCAUAUCAAUAAGCGGAGGAAAAGAAACUAACAAGGAUUCCCCUAGUAACGGCGAGUGAAGCGGGAAGAGCUCAGAUUUGAAAUCUUAAAGGGUUUCCCUUUACGAAUUGUAGUUUAAAGAAGUGUUUUCUGUUGAGGUUUUGGUAAAAGUUCUUUGGAAUAGGACAUCAUAGAGGGUGAGAAUCCCGUAUUUGACCUUUACUUUCAACUUUGUGAUACACUUUCAAAGAGUCGGAUUGUUUGGGAAUGCAGUCCAAAAUGGGUGGUAAAUUUCAUCUAAAGCUAAAUAUUGGCGAGAGACCGAUAGCGAACAAGUACCGUGAGGGAAAGAUGAAAAGAACUUUGAAAAGAGAGUUAAACAGUACGUGAAAUUGUCAAAAGGGAAGCGUUUGACACCAGUGUUGUUUUUCUGAAAAUCAAUUAAAGAACUGUUUAUGCUAAGUUGCUUAGACUUUAUCAGCUAACUGUUUAGUUUUGAGCUUUUCUUUAAUGCACUUUUCAGUUAACAAGUCAACAUCAAUUUCUUUUGCUGUAAAAAAGCUUGAGGAAGGUGGCUUGAGAUUCGUCUUAAGUGUUUAUAGCCUCUUGCCUAUGCAGUCGGAGAGAUUGAGGUCUGCAGCGUAGAUCCUUCGGGGCUAAAUGCAUUUGUGCUAAGUUAUAACAUUUUAUAGACAACUUGUUGACUAUGAUUUGUCUUGUAGCUUACUCGCUUAUGUUAUUUUACCUACGCUUAGGAUGUUGACAGCAGUAUAGACUGU
rnacentral:rRNA from 1 species